UUAUCAACAAAUUUAUUGAUUAAGAAUAUAACCAAAUUAUUAUUAUUUUUAAAGCCUAUAAACCUUAUAUUAAUGGAAACUGUCAAAAAUAUCAUUUUCAAAGUAUCACUUUUCAUGUUUAUACUAAACACUUUUACCCUCAUCUUUAAUGAAGGGUAAAAGACAUUUAUAACCUUUUCAUUAACUUUGACAAAAAAAAACAUAUGGUUAACUUAUCUAAACUUAAAACAUCAACUCUAAACCCUAAAUCAUCAACUCUAACCCUAAACCAUGAAACAUCAACUCUAAACCUUAAACCCCGAAACAUCAACUCUAAACCCUAAACCUUAAACCCUAAACCUUCAAAUCUAAACACUAAAACAUCAACUCUAAACCUUAAAAGUAAACCCUAAACCCUAAAUCUAAACUUAAAACAUAAACUUUAAACCCUAAAUCAUCAACUCUAAACCCUAAACCAGGAAACAUCAACUCUAAACCCUAAACCCCGAAACAUCAACUCUAAACCCUAAACAAUAAACCUUCAAAUCUAAACCCUAAAACAUCAACUC
rnacentral:lncRNA from 1 species